rnacentral:rRNA from 1 species
GUAGGUGGCAAGCGUUGUCCGGAAUUAUUGGGCGUAAAGCGCGCGCAGGUGGUUCUUUAAGUCUGAUGUGAAAGCCCCCGGCUCAACCGGGGAGGGUCAUUGGAAACUGGGGAACUUGAGUGCAGGAGAGGAAAGUGGAAUUCCACGUGUAGCGGUGAAAUGCGUAGAUAUGUGGAGGAACACCAGUGGCGAAGGCGACUUUCUGGCCUGUAACUGACACUGAGGCGCGAAAGCGUGGGGAGCGAACAGGGAUUAGAUACCCUGGUAGUCCACGCCGUAAACGAUGAGUGCUAAGUGUUGGGGGGGUUUCCCGCCCCUCAGUGCUGCAGCUAACGCAUUAAGCACUCCGCCUGGGGAGUACGGUCGCAAGACUG